AAAAUAAAGUAAAACAACAAUACAAUCUCUAUAGUAAAAAUAAAAACGUAAAUAAGUAGAAAUAAUUUGGUAAAAUAUUAGUUACAGAUUUUUUUUUUCGAAUUUGUCAUAAAUAUUACAGCAACAAUCUAAAAUGAUUUUAACUAUAUCAACGGAAAUAUACCUGUAACUAUAUAAAUCUUAUCUGUACUGAUAAAAGUAAAACAAAUAUCGAUCCAUAUCUUAUUGCAUUCAUUCGAAACUAAAAUACCGACAGCAACCGACGUACCUACCUUAAACAUUUUAUACUUUUUUAUUUUCAAGGUAAAAUAUUUCUAAGUGUACUUGUGCUAGUCAUUCGAGCGCGAAGUGCGUCACAAUUGUCAAUUGUUAACGACUGACCUACAAUUAGUAGAUUAGAAAUAAAAUAACGUAUUUUGCUUUGUGAUUCUAUUGCAUUAAAAUGUGUGCCUGCGAUUGUGGACCCUGUUGCAAGAUAUUAAGAUGCUUGCUCUGUGUGACUCUGUGUGUACAUUUAUUGAAGAUGUGUGGUGUCGACUGCUGUGACAACUGCGGCGACGAUGAUUAGUAUUAGCAGAAAGAUUAUAUUUAAAUUAAAUAUAAUUAUGUAAUAUUUUUGUGUGUUUUUAUUUAUUAAAUUAAUUUAUUCCUGUUAUUUUACUAGCGUGAGUCUAGAAAUCUUUUUUUGAUUGAGAUUAUAAGUAGCUAGUAUAAUUCUGUAUAUCUACGUGUUACUCUGUACUUGCAACUGUAUAAAUAUUUAGAUUUUUACCGGAC
rnacentral:misc_RNA from 1 species